rnacentral:rRNA from 1 species
GACGAACGCUGGCGGCGUGCCUAAUACAUGCAAGUCGAACGCUUCUUUCCUCCCGAGUGCUUGCACUCAAUUGGAAAGAGGAGUGGCGGACGGGUGAGUAACACGUGGGUAACCUACCCAUUAGAGGGGGAUAACACUUGGAAACAGGUGCUAAUACCGCAUAACAGUUUAUGCCGCAUGGCAUAAGAGUGAAAGGCGCUUUCGGGUGUCGCUGAUGGAUGGACCCGCGGUGCAUUAGCUAGUUGGUGAGGUAACGGCUCACCAAGGCCACGAUGCAUAGCCGGACUGAGAGGGUGAUCGGCCACACUGGGACUGAGACACGGCCCAGACUCCUACGGGAGGCAGCAGUAGGGAAUCUUCGGCAAUGGGCGAAAGUCUGACCGAGCAACGCCGCGUGAGUGAAGAAGGUUUUCGGAUCGUAAAACUCUGUUGUUAGAGAAGAACAAGGACGUUAGUAACUGAACGUCCCCUGACGGUAUCUAACCAGAAAGCCACGGCUAACUACGUG